rnacentral:lncRNA from 1 species
UAUUUUGAAUCAACUUGAAAUUGAGCCUCUAGCUACUCAACUUGGCUCGAUUGCACCCCUCGUUAAAGGAUUGUGGGAUUAUAUGCAUUUUAGGAUCUUGGGCACCCAAAAUCAUCUCAUUUUUUCUUUUAUAUAAAAUUAAGGUUGCGUCUUGAUUGGGUAAUCUCAUGUCUAGACUGGUCCUGACCUAUGGAUCCAAUUUGAAGAGUAAAUUAGUUUUCAAUUUAAAUUUUUUUAUUUGAACUAAUUUGAAGACCGAAUUGGUUCAUCUACUUAAUUUCUACAUCAAAAUAAGAAUAAAAUUAAUAAGAAAGCAAUUCAAAUGCUAGGAGGAUCACCAAACUUGAUGUCGACCACUUUGACCAUUUUAGGUGGGGUUGGAUAGGAUCCAAGAGCGAGAUUUGUCACAUCAGGAAGCCGAAUCGCAUGUUAAAUUUUUGAAGGCCAUAACUUGGUCAUAUGAUGUUCGAUUGAGAUAAUUUUUUCUUUUUACAAAAUUGGAUAACUUUUCGAGAUUUAUGAUGUGCCCAAAAUUCUAUUGUUUGGGCCCGAAAUAGAUUGAUCAAACUAAAAGUCUCCUUUUCAUAAAAGACUUUGACCGAAUAUAUCUCUCAAUCCUAGAAGAAUCAAGCAAAGCGAUAAAAGAUAAAGUUGAUGUAGAAGUUGGAUCUAUCUCCUAUAAAAUUUUAGCUUUUUCAAGUUUAUUUUUACUGGUCAUAUCUAUUUUAGGAAAGUUGAGUCCUAUUUGAAUUGGAAAAUAAAUACAACGG